CCGGGUGAUCGCUGAAAAUCCCCAAGGAGUCUCGUGGUUUGUGGAGAUCACGUUUCUGUCCAUUCAUUUAUUUAUUCACCUUAUUCAUUGCACGAACACCCGCCGAGCGCGUACUUCGUGCCACGCCUUUCGCUAGGCAUUGGAAAACAAAGCAAAAGCAACGCACGGCAGGAAGGCGCUUAGCACGGGGCCUGCUGGUUGUGAGCACUCGGCGAUUGUUACCUCUCACACACGUGCAGAGACGGCAGCUCUGGGAUCUUUGCUACGUUCAUUUUUUCAGUCCCGUCUGACUGCCCGGGGCGCCAGGCAGGGCCUACAGUCCAGCUUUUCCCCUUUCUGGCUGUGCUUUCUGGCAGCUCGCUUCCCUUGCCUAAGCCCUGCUCUCUCACCUCUGAGUGAGACCAAGAGAACUUCUUACAUAAGCUCUCUGAGGACCAAGUUAGACGAACGUCAGCGGACCGGCCAAGAAAGCCCUCCAUGCAAAUCAGGGGUUGUGAUGAUCGGCUGUGAUACUUAGUUUUACUUGUUCGACAAAUAUCUGCACCGCCUACCACUCAGUCCCUGCAACGAGGAGAGGCGAUUAACAAGAUCCACCCCCACAGCCCGUUCAGCAGUGGCCCUGUUCUCUUUGAAAAUGGGAUGCUAUGAAAAAUAAAGUCAGCGGACACAGACUCCUGGCUUCUGCACAUGAUUACCGCCACAGAGAAACCAGAUCUGCACGUGGUUAGAGACUGGGAGGGACGCGAAAACCCAAGCUGUUGCAGUGUGGCUGGCCACGGCAAAGCAAGCAAGAACGGCUUUACCCAGGAGGUGGCAGUGCUGUCUGCUGGGCCAGGGAACCAGUCACUCACACAAGACCCCGGCCACCCACAGGCUCGAACUAUGCUACCGUUUGGGAAAGUGGAAGAGAGGAGUGCGCGUGCUGGCAGCGGAGGUUACUCCUUUUCAAACUUAGCUUUUCUGGAGCUGCAGCUCAGACACCAUGAAGCCCACUCUGGAAGUCCACGAGUCAGUGGUUCCACAGGGGCACAGAGCUGUGGCACCAUCGCCCUCGGUCGCUCCUCCCCCCAGCACCCCAUGCCCAUUGCAGGUGCUCCCCGUCCCUCCGUCUCUCAGACCCUGAGAUGGCGCGUCUAUUUUCCGUCUCUGCAGAGCUGCCUGUCCUGGGCAUUUCCUCAAAUGGAGCCGCACCUA